rnacentral:lncRNA from 1 species
UGAUUAAUCUCAAAAUAAGAUGAUACUGAGUAUAGCGUCAUGAAACUGCACUGAGUAGUUAGUGAUACUGAAGCCUUAGAUACAAGGAAGGACCCAAGGAUGGUAGGAAUUUGGCAUCUGCACUUUCAGCAUCUGGAGCUGGAAAACACCCGAGCCUAGUGCCUGAUCCAAAUCCAGGCGACCAAGUUCAAUAAUCUGUUGAUUUAGACAACAGAGGCAGAAAUGGAAAGCAAAGCAAACACUCAGGACGACCUAGAUCUGAACAGCGGAGGUCCUGACAAAGCAUGCAGAGACUGCAGGGUAGAGACCAUGGGGAACUGCCACAGCCUGGUGGGAGAGAAGCCAAGGCAAACCAAGACAGAACGGAAGAUUUGUGUUAAGAUGAUGUGACUGGCAAGCGACGGUAAUUUAUUGUAAUUGAUUUAUUCAAUUAAUUCUAGAUAAUUUAGAUUAAUUUGUUUCUAAUCAAAACAAAGACCUAUUUUUUAGAGUGGUCAUGAUGAACUGCUACUAAACAGGCAAAUCUAAGAUUCCUAAUUGAUUUAAAAUAAAGAAGACAGAAAAGAUGUGGUAGCUCA